UGCCAUAAAAACAAGAUUCCUGGUUUUCACCCAGGCAGCCCGGGUUCGACUCCCGGUAUGGGAA
rnacentral:tRNA from 1 species